UACGGGGGGGGCAAGCGUUGUUCGGAAUUACUGGGCGUAAAGGGCUCGUAGGUGGCCAACUAAGUCAGACGUGAAAUCCCCAGGCUCAACUUGGGAACUGCGUCUGAUACUGGAUGGCUUGAAUUCGGGAGAGGGAUGCAGAAUUCCAGGUGUAGCGGUGAAAUGCGUAGAUAUCUGGAGGAAUACCGGUGGCGAAGGCGGCCUCCUGGACCGAGAUUGACACUGAUGAGCGAAAGCUAGGGGAGCAAACGGG
rnacentral:rRNA from 1 species